CCUACGGGUGGCAGCAGUGGGGAAUAUUGCACAAUGGGGGAAACCCUGAUGCAGCGACGCCGCGUGAGUGAAGAAGUAAUUCGUUACGUAAAGCUCUAUCAGCAGGGAAGAAACACUUAACUUACGGUCCGCAGACGGUACCUGAGUCAGAAGCCCCGGCUAACUACGUGCCAGCUGCCGCGGUAAUCCGUAGGGGGAAAGCGUUAUGCGGAUUUACUGGGUGUAAAGGGAGCGAAGGCGGUGCGCCAAGUCUGGAGUGAAAUGCCGCAGCUUAACUGCGGAACUGCUUGGGAUACUGGCGAACUAGAGUGCGGUAGUGGGAAGUGGAAUUCCUGGUGUAGCGGUGAAAUGCGUAGAUAUUAGGAGGAAUACCGGUGGCGAAGGCGGCCUACUGGACCGUAACUGACGUUGAGGCUCGAAAGCGUGGGGAGCAAACAGGAUUAGAUACCCUUGUAGUC
rnacentral:rRNA from 1 species